rnacentral:rRNA from 1 species
GGACGGGGCCCGCACAAGCGGUGGAGUAUGUGGUUUAAUUCGAUGCAACGCGAAGAACCUUACCUGGUCUUGACAUCCCGGAGACCCUUAGGAAACUAGGGGGUGCUUCCAUCUGGAAGAAUCUGGAGACAGGUGCUGCAUGGCUGUCGUCAGCUCGUGUCGUGAGAUGUUGGGUUAAGUCCCGCAACGAGCGCAACCCUUGCCUUUAGUUGCCAGCAGUUCGGCUGGGCACUCUAAAGGGACUGCCGGUGUUAAACCGGAGGAAGGUGGGGAUGACGUCAAGUCCUCAUGGCCUUUAUGACCAGGGCUACACACGUACUACAAUGGCCGAUACAAAGGGCAGCGACACUGCGAGGUGAAGCCAAUCCCGUAAAAUCGGUCUCAGUCCGGAUUGGAGUCUGCAACUCGACUCCAUGAAGUUGGAAUCGCUAGUAAUCGUGGAUCAGCAUGCCACGGUGAAUACGUUCCCGGGCCUU